UCCAGACUCCUACGGGAGGCAGCAGUGGGGGAUAUUGCACAAUGGGGGGAACCCUGAUGCAGCGACGCCGCGUGGGUGAGGAAGUACCCCGGUAUGUAAAGCCCUUUCGGCAGGGAAGAAAAUGACGGUACCUGGCGAAGAAGCCCCGGCUAACUACGUGCCAGCAGCCGCGGUAAUACGUAGGGGGCAAGCGUUAUCCGGAUUUACUGGGUGUAAAGGGAGCGUAGACGGCGAUGCAAGCCAGAUGUGAAAGCCCGGGGCUCAACCCCGGGACUGCAUUUGGAACUGUGUGGCUGGAGUGUCGGAGAGGCAGGCGGAAUUCCUAGUGUAGCGGUGAAAUGCGUAGAUAUUAGGAGGAACACCAGUGGCGAAGGCGGCCUGCUGGACGAUGACUGACGUUGAGGCUCGAAAGCGUGGGGAGCAAACAGGAUUAGAUACCCCUGUAAG
rnacentral:rRNA from 1 species